UUCUGAAGUGAUCUGGUGUUCCUGUGUAUGGGCAGACACCUGAAGCCUGCUGAUGUGGUACAUCACUUUUUGAUGACUAUAUCACAUGACACGUGGAUUACGUAGAUCAUUAUUAGCAGAUGGAUGUUGAGGGGAAAAGAUGGGGAAAGGAACUGUAGCAGCCCUCCAGGACUUGUGUCACUCUUCAGGUAUAAAGGCAGAACUGACUGGAUGUGAGACACAGCGG